rnacentral:rRNA from 1 species
AACGAACGCUGGCGGCAUGCCUAACACAUGCAAGUCGAACGAGACCUUCGGGUCUAGUGGCGCACGGGUGCGUAACGCGUGGGAACCUGCCCUUAGGUUCGGAAUAACUCCCCGAAAGGGGUGCUAAUACCGGAUAAUGUCUUCGGACCAAAGAUUUAUCGCCUUUGGAUGGGCCCGCGUUGGAUUAGCUAGUUGGUAGGGUAAAAGCCUACCAAGGCGACGAUCCAUAGCUGGUCUGAGAGGAUGAUCAGCCACACUGGGACUGAGACACGGCCCAGACUCCUGCGGGGGGCAGCAGUGGGGAAUAUGGGACAAUGGGCGAAAGCCUGAUCCAGCAAUGCCGGGGGAGUGAUGAAGGCCUUAGGGUUGUAAAGCUCUUUUCCCCGGGAUGAUAAUGACGGAACCGGGAGAAAAAGCCCCGGCUAACCCCGU